rnacentral:antisense_RNA from 1 species
AUGAGGGUUGAGCGGGGUUUCCCCCGCCCUGGUAGUCUUAGUAAGCCGGGAAGCUUAUGACUAAGAGCACCACGAUGAUGAUCCACUUCAUCAUGACCCUUUCCUUAUUUAUGGCCCCUUCCUCGGGAGGGGCUUU